rnacentral:lncRNA from 1 species
CCGCGACCUCCCCGCCAGUUCCUGUGUGUUGCUGGCUGGAAAGGGGUAGUUGACAAACUCCCACCCAGCACAGUAUUUAUGUCGGUCAAAAAUGGAAAACUAUGUGUCCGGGCACGGCCCAGGAAGGAGGAUCCCUUCAGGCCAAGAGCAGCCUAGCAAUAUGGCGCAACCCCACCUCUGUAGUCCAACCUCAGCCUCCCAGCUACUUGAACCCCAAGAUUCAAGGCUCCAAUGAGCUGUGAUCUCACCACAGCACUCCUGCCUGCGAGACUGAGAGACCAAAGACCAACAAACUACCACAGCCACCAGUUCCGGAACCUGCCAAUGAUGGGCAACGGAAAGUGAGGGAGUUCAACUCUGUUUUCAGAGAAAUGGAAUAAUCAUAUCGCUGAUCUAUGUAAACAAGUUGAAGAAUUGUCUGACAGAAAA